UACGUAGGGUGCGAGCGUUAAUCGGAAUUACUGGGCGUAAAGCGUGCGCAGGCGGUUCGUUGUGUCGGCGGUGAAAGCCCCCGGGCUUAACCUGGGAAUGGCCGUUGAAACUGGCGAACUGGAGUGUGGCAGAGGGGGGUGGAAUUCCGCGUGUAGCAGUGAAAUGCGUAGAGAUGCGGAGGAACACCGAUGGCGAAGGCAGCCCCCCUGGGCUAACACUGACGCCUCAGGCACGAAAGCGUGGGGAGCAAACAGG
rnacentral:rRNA from 1 species